AACGAACGCUGGCGGCAUGCCUAACACAUGCAAGUCGAACGAGACCUUCGGGUCUAGUGGCGCACGGGUGCGUAACGCGUGGUAACCUGCCCUUAGGUUCGGAAUAACUCCCCGAAAGGGGUGCUAAUACCGGAUAAUGUCUUCGGACCAAAGAUUUAUCGCCUUUGGAUGGGCCCGCGUUGGAUUAGCUAGUUGGUAGUGUAAAAGCCUACCAAGGCGACGAUCCAUAGCUGGUCUGAGAGGAUGAUCAGCCACACUGGGACUGAGACACGGCCCAGACUCCUACGGGAGGCAGCAGUGGGGAAUAUUGGACAAUGGGCGAAAGCCUGAUCCAGCAAUGCCGCGUGAGUGAUGAAGGCCUUAGGGUUGUAAAGCUCUUUUACCCGGGAUGAUAAUGACAGUACCGGGAGAAUAAGCUCCGGCUAACUCCGUG
rnacentral:rRNA from 1 species